UACGUAGGGACCAAGCGUUGUCCGGAAUCAUUGGGCGUAAAGCGCGCGUAGGUGGCUUCGUAAGUCCGUUGUGAAAGUCAAAGGCUCAACCUUUGAAAGCCGAUGGAUACUGCGGAGCUAGAGUACGGAAGAGGCGAGUGGAAUUCCUGGUGUAGCGGUGGAAUGCGCAGAUAUCAGGAGGAACACCAAUAGCGAAGGCAGCUCGCUGGGACGUUACUGACACUAAGGCGCGAAAGCGUGGGGAGCAAACAGG
rnacentral:rRNA from 1 species